ensembl:lncRNA
GUUUAUGGGAAGAACUAUUUCCAAAUGGAGCAGUACAUCUCUAAGAGAGUCAUAGAGAAAGCGGCCUUGCCCUGUUUAAGAGAGGAGUUGCCAAGGUUACAUGCCAAUAAUGCUCACAUGCUUCCAGAGGAGGCUGAGAUGGAGUUCUUAAAGGUUCUUUCAUUUGGUCUUCAGUUAGAGUCGCUCAUGCUAAAAAUACUCUGGUAAUGCUCAUAAAACUAAGCAAAUGGCUCUUUGAUCAGUACCUCCUGUGUCUUUCUUGCCUUUAUAGAUUACACAGCAGCUGCCAGAGUAUGGAGUGCUGUUCCACAGAGUUGCCCGUGAAAGGAAACCUAUCAUUGGAGAGCUGGUUUUGGGAAUUUGUGCCAAAGGAAUUAUGGUUUAUGAAGUCAAGAACCAUUCUCGUGUGUUAAGCCGCAAAUUUCACUGGACAGAAACAGACAGUCUCUCAACAAGUGUGAGUUAUUAUUUGUGUGGAUUCUAUUGCUUAUUUAGUUCUUUUUUGAUACUCUGUGAAAUCCAGUAACAUGCUAUUUGAAGUUCAUGAUGUUUUGGGUUAAGGUUUUAAUAAUUCUCCAUUAAUCCUGUCACAGAGACGAAAAUUUACCAUUGAGUGCAGCCCGAGUGGGAAGAAGCACUCAUUUGUGACAGAGAGCUCAAAGAUUGCACAGUACCUCCUGAACCUCUGCUCAGCCCAGCACAAGUUUCACAGUGAGAUGACCUCUCGUCAGCUGACCUACUGUUUAGCCUCAGAUGAUAACGUGGCAAAAUAUACAUCAAUAUGCCGCGCUCGACACAAUCAGAUAAAGAGGCUGUCUUGCUCGGAGAUUGUGCUCAACAAUAUUGGUUUGAAUGGAUUACCGAAUGACUCCAUGAGCAAGUCUUGUGAUGACCUGUCAGCAAAGAUCAGAGUUCGGAUUCAGCAACAGAAUGAAGUAAAUUACAUUCCUGAACCAAGAACCCCAAGUGAACUGAAAGACCAGAGCCCAAGCAGCAGCCCUCCAGAAAAUUUCAGUCCUCCAGUCUACCGCAUCAUGCCCAGUGUCUCUUUGCAAAAGCAGGACUCAGAGGUUCAUUCCACCACCUCAUCUAUAAGAGGUAAACAGUGA